CUGUAUUUCUUCUGAAUCUCAUCGAUUUGAUUAAAGACAUGCAUGUCUCUUCCUGAUUCUCUCCCUUCGUCUUCUUUUUAUUCUCCUGUGACCCACGAAGAAACCGAGUUUCACGCUUACCAUGGAAUCUUUCCGAGUACGAUUACCACCAUGGGAGCGUGUUUGCAUAUGAGAACGUGAGGGAUAGUUCGACUUCCGGAGACACUUGGUCUUGCGUUGUUGUCGUUGCUACCUUCUAUAACCUUUGGUGAGAUCGAAUUUUUGAAUCGAUGCUUUGUCUUUGUUGUGUGAAUGUUUUGAUUAAGAUAUAAGAGAUAUAUAAUUCUAAUUUUAUCACUUUGUAUAGUUUUUAGCCAGAUCCAUUUGAAGUUUAAAUGAUUUGAUCGCUUUGGUUGAUGAAGUCUGUCCUGCUAAUUUCUUGGGGUGAGGAGUAAAGAUUAGAGUUAUUGGAUGAGUCUUAUAUGGUCCUCGGCGUGAUCCAAAUAUCGGCGGGCGCCUAUGUUUGGAAAUGGAAGUUACAAUUCAGGAUCCGAAUAAGGGAAAACCGGGUUAUUUAAAGAUCCGCGUGUUUCUAUUUAAUUAUAUUACCUCUUUGCCCUCAAAUAUUUUUUUCUUUGUUCUUUCUUUUUUAUUUCGUAGGGGCAUUGUAUGGCAUAUUGGUUCUAUUGUUUUUUUUU